GUUUCUCAAAACUCACAUCAAGAAGCGGUUUCUCAAAAUAUAAGAGAGAGAGAGAGAGAGAGAUAGAGGGAAGCUCUGCGUCUUCCGUCCGCGGCAGCGCCAUCGACCAUCCUCCGACGUCGGUAGUGCAGCAGCCUCUCCUCAGAAUGUCCAUGGAGAAAGGCAAACCAGGUUCAGCUUCGACCCAGAACUCCACCCCAAUCAAGCAAGAUCCGACGGGGAGAGCUCGAGGAGGAUGGCGGAGAGGCUCUGGACUUCCUACGGCCGCCGUGCCAGGUGAUCGGCCCCGACGAGACCAGCUUGAAGGAAAACACUACUCCCGCUCGCAUCCGUAAGCUCGACAAGGCUCGUCUCAGCGAGCGCGCUACCGAGUGCCGCUACCGGGCCAAGUUCGGAGACGCCAUCGACGAGGAAUCGGCAGCCAUCGUCGUGACCGAGCUAGGGCUCCUGGUGGGUAGGCUGAAGAGAUAAAGGUUGCAGGAGACUCCUUGGCUAAACUUGAGAGAGGAGCUGCUCUUUUGUUGUGACGGACUUUUGGCAUAAGGGGUGACUACUGGACUUCAAGCUCUCCUGUCCUUUUUUUGCUGUUGAUGAGAAAAUUGGCAUGAGCAGAGGAUUUGGCUUCAUGAACUUUCUGAACAAGUAAGAAGCUCAAAGUGCCAUCAAGAAGCUGAAUAAUGGGUAUGGCUAUCAUGAUAAUCUCAUCCUCAAGAGUCAAAUGGGCCUCGCCAAGAUCAAACCAGAAUAUGUUUUAAUUCCAAAACAAGCUUAUCAAAUAUGUUUUUUUUUUUUCCUGAAAAAAUGUUUUCUUAAAGUACACUACGCCCAGAUACCCAUACCCCUUUUCUGUUUAUGUUUCAGAUAAUUUUUGUAGGGCUUUUCGUUUGGUGGAGGUUGAUCUUGUGUUUUUUUGCUUGAUAUUUUCAUUUGAAUAAUGUUCUAUUCACAUGGUUCCUUUGCUAUGUUUUGAUCAUUUGAUCAUGGUAGCUGUUGGAGCAGCUAUUGAUUUUCAUGGGCAGCAGCAGCUAGCCACCAGCCUCCAUUGUUGAUUUCACACUCGCAAGCACCAUUUUUGAAAUAAUGCAGCCCCAUCAUAUUUGAAUCUUGUGGCAGCCAAUUGCCUAUAUAAGGCCAUGCAUGCUCAACUGUGUAAUCCAUCCCAAAGCCAGAAAAAUUGAGUGAUAUAUAUAUAUAUAUAUAUCCAAUUUUGUGUAUAUCCUGUGAGGAUUAUUGGUUGUAUUUGGGUUUUGGGUUUGAGAGUGUGAGUUGCUAAUAUUUUGUAUUCUACUAUUUUAUUUAGUGAAUACUGCUGAUCCGUCUUCAUCCGUGGAGUAGGCACACUGCUUAACCACGUAAA